rnacentral:lncRNA from 1 species
GGUAAGUGAUUGGUGGUGUUGGAGCUGAGCCUAGCCUGUAGUUAACAAGUCCAUAAAUAUGAGCAUCAGAUAAAGAGGUGUGCACCAUUGCUGACUGAAGAUGAGCUCGUUUCGCAUGUUGGCGUUCCCUUUUGUGAGCGUUUUGGUGACCACCUAAAGCUUGGGAGGUGGGGAAGUUUCUGCAACAAUAAUGGCACUCAAACCUUCUGCUAUUAUCACCAUUGUUCUCGUUCUCCUUGGUGGUAUCUUCGUUGUUCUCGGCUGAGUCGGACUCGUUGCUGGGCGUAGCUGGGUCAACACCACCGAAUUCCUUGCC